rnacentral:rRNA from 1 species
CCUACGGGUGGCAGCAGUGAGGAAUAUUGGUCAAUGGGCGCGAGCCUGAACCAGCGAAGUAGCGUGAGGGAUGAAUGCCCUCCGGGUUGUAAACUUCUUUUAUCAAGGAGUAAAGUAAGGCACGUGUGCCUUUUGGUAUGGACUUUUUGGAUCAGGCUGGGGUAAAUCCGUGCCAGCGGCCGGCGUAAUACGGAGGAACGGAGCGUUAUCCGGAUUUAGUGGGUUUAAGGGGAGGGUAGAUGGGUUGUUAAGUCAGAGGUGAAAUUCGGCGGCUCAACCGUAAAAGUGCAAUUGAUACUGGCAGUCUUGAGUGCAGUUGAGGUAGGCGGAAUUCGUGGUGUAGCGGUGAAAUGCUUAGAUAUCACGAAGAACUCCGAUUGCGAAGGCAGCUUACUAAACUGCGACUGACGUUGAUGCUCGAAAGCGUGGGUAUCAAACAGGAUUAGAUACCCUUGUAGUC